GCAGUGUACCCGCGGCAAGACGGAAAGACCCCGUGAACCUUUACUAUAGCUUGACACUGAACAUUGAGCCUUGAUGUGUAGGAUAGGUGGGAGGCUUUGAAGCGUGGACGCCAGUCUGCGUGGAGCCGACCUUGAAAUACCACCCUUUAAUGUUUGAUGUUCUAACGUUGGCCCCUUACCGGGGUUGCGGACAGUGUCUGGUGGGUAGUUUGACUGGGGCGGUCUCCUCCCAAAGCGUAACGGAGGCGCACGGCG
rnacentral:rRNA from 1 species